GCAAGUGAUAGAAUCGACGUAACCUGUAAUUUAAGCAAUCAUUACAUGAGAAUGAGAGUCAUUACUGCAAAAUCAACUCAAAAAACUUUGAGAAUUUUGCAAAUAAUUCAAAUUCAAGGAUUCUUCUCAUUGUGAUAUUUUCAUAAAAUUCACUAAUAUUAUUCUGACAUAUUAUUGCAUUGCAAAGAAAGGAACCAAAAAGUCAAAUCAGCCUGAUAAGUUCGAUGAAAUUUUGGUGAAAGGUGCCAAAAUUGUUCAUAUUUAUACAAGUGUUAAUUUUCUACUAAGUAUGUCUCACGACCGUAUAAAGAAGCCAAGAACCUCAAAAGUACAAAACACUUAAUGAAAUAAUCAUUCAUCUUAAUCUUUAAAGUCUUGCUGAUUUGAAAUUUAAGGCCAACAUAUAAUAGAGCUAUCAAGGAGACAAAUAAGGUGAUAGUUUGGAUGGUGCUCUGGUCUAUCCUUAUCAAUGACAACGACAAAUAUAUAAUUGAGGUGAAAAAAAGUGAGUUUGGAGGGGAAAGGGAAAUAUAAACUAUAGGGUUCAUAUAUCCAAAUCCGGCCUCGCUAUUUCACAUCUCAUGAUAAGGCUCACCUGUUGAUAGAAAAAAAAGGGGCUCUCCUACCACACAAUAAACACCCAACCUGGGAGCAUAUACAAUAUAAGACAAGAUGAAUGCACAGAAGUUAUCCUUUUCCCAUUCACAAGGAUUAUCCUUUUUCCAUGCACAAAUUUUAGCUUUUUGUUUAAACUGUUGCCUUGAGCACCUUGAGCAUGAAGUUCACAAACAAUAUUUCACUCAGCAAUACCCUUCUCCUCAAUCAUUUGAUGUUAAAUUUUCUUAAAAAAUUAUUCUAGAGUAGCAGUUGUUCC
rnacentral:misc_RNA from 1 species